rnacentral:rRNA from 1 species
CUACGGGUUGCUGCAGUGAGGAAUAUUGCACAAUGGGGGAAACCCUGAUGCAGCAACGCCGCGUGGAGGAUGACGCAUUUCGGUGUGUAAACUCCUUUUAUAUGUCAAGAAAAUGACGGUAGCAUAUGAAUAAGCACCGGCUAACUCCGUGCCAGCAGCCGCGGUAGUACGGAGGGUGCAAGCGUUAUUCGGAAUCACUGGGCGUAAAGGACGCGUAGGCGGGUUUGCAAGUCAGGUGUGAAAUCCUAUGGCUCAACCAUAGAACUGCACUUGAAACUGCGAACCUAGAGUAUGGAAGGGGCAGAUGGAAUUAGUGGUGUAGGGGUAAAAUCCGUAGAUAUCACUAGGAAUACCAAAAGCGAAGGCGAUCUGCUGGGACAUUACUGACGCUAAGGCGUGAAAGCGUGGGGAGCAAACAGGAUUAGAUACCCGAGUAGUC